AUUGAACGCUGGCGGCAGGCCUAACACAUGCAAGUCGAGCGGAUGAAGGGAGCUUGCUCCUGGAUUCAGCGGCGGACGGGUGAGUAAUGCCUAGGAAUCUGCCUGGUAGCUUUGUAUAACGUCCGGAAACGGGCGCUAAUACCGCAUUCGUCCUGAGGGAGUAAGGGUGGGAUCUUCGGACCUCCCGCUAUCAGAUGAUCCGAUGUCGGAUUAGCUAGUUGGUGGGGUAAAGGCCUACCAAGGCGACGAUCCGUAACUGGUCUGAGAGGAUGAUCAGUCACACUGGAACUGAGACACGGUCCAGACUCCUACGGGAGGCAGCAGUGGGGAAUAUUGGACAAUGGGCGAAAGCCUGAUCCAGCCAUGCCGCGUGUGUGAAGAAGGUCUUCGGGUUGUAAAGCACUUUUAGUUGGGAGGAAGGGCAGUAAGUUAAUACCUUGCUGUUUUGACGUUACCAAAAGAAUAAGCACCGGCUAACUUCGUG
rnacentral:rRNA from 1 species